GGAGCAAGUCGCCACCUAGAGAUAGGGCGUUUCCUUCGGGAACGCAAUGACAGGUGGUGCAUGGUCGUCGUCAGCUCGUGUCGUGAGAUGUUGGGUUAAGUCCCGCAACGAGCGCAACCCUUGUUACUAGUUGCCAGCAUUAAGUUGGGCACUCUAGUGAGACUGCCGGUGACAAACCGGAGGAAGGUGGGGACGACGUCAGAUCAUCAUGCCCCUUAUGACCUGGGCUACACACGUGCUACAAUGGACGGUACAACGAGUCGCGAACUCGCGAGGGCAAGCAAAUCUCUUAAAACCGUUCUCAGUUCGGACUGCAGGCUGCAACUCGCCUGCACGAAGUCGGAAUCGCUAGUAAUCGCGGAUCAGCAUGCCGCGGUGAAUACGUUCCCGGGUCUUGUACACACCGAUA
rnacentral:rRNA from 2 species